AACGAACGCUGGCGGCAGGCCUAACACAUGCAAGUCGAGCGAGCAUUUCGGUGCUAGCGGCGGACGGGUGAGUAACGCGUGGGAACGUGCCCUUUUCUGCGGAAUAGUCCUGGGAAACUGGGGGUAAUACCGCAUACGCCCUUUUGGGGAAAGAUUUAUCGGAGAAGGAUCGGCCCGCGUUGGAUUAGGUAGUUGGUGGGGUAAUGGCCCACCAAGCCGACGAUCCAUAGCUGGUUUGAGAGGAUGAUCAGCCACACUGGGACUGAGACACGGCCCAGAAUCCUACGGGAGGGAGCAGUGGGGAAUCUUAGACAAGGGGGGCAACCCUGAUCUAGCCAUGCCGCGUGAGUGAUGAAGGCCUUAGGGUUGUAAAGCUCUUUCAGCUGGGAAGAUAAUGACGGUACCAGCAGAAGAAGCCCCGGCUAACUCCGUG
rnacentral:rRNA from 1 species